UACAGCCAUAUCACAGUGAAACACCAGUUCCCCGUAUGAUCACUGAAGUUAAGCAACGUCAAACCUGGUCAGUACCUAGAUGAGUGACCGCUUAAGAAUACCAGGUGCAGUG